AGGGGGGGAAAUUUUUGGGAACAAUGGGGGGAACCCUGAUCCAGCCAUCCCGCGUGUUUUAAAAAAAAGCCUUCGGGUUGUAAAGUACUUUUGGCAGACAAGCUUCAAUACCCCUAAUACGGGAUACUGCUGACGGUAUCUGCUGAAUAACCACCGGCUAACUACGUGCCACCAGCCUCUUUCCAUACGUAGGGUGUAAGCGUUUUAUCGGACUUACUGGGCGUAUUGCGUGUGUAUGCGGUUCUGUAAGAAAGAUGUGAAAUCCCAGGGCUCAACCUUGGAACUGCAUUUUUAACUGCCCGAGCUUUAGUAUGUCGAGGGGGGUAGAAUUCCACGUGUUUUCUCUGAAAUGCUUAGAUCUGUGGAGGAUUAACGAUCCUCUAUGGCUUCCCCCCUGCU
rnacentral:rRNA from 1 species